UACAUUUUGUGGCAUUUCGAAACAAACACCAGAAAUUUGCAUGUGAGAACGUGUUAGAAAGAUGAAAAAGAUGAAUUUUUCAAACACUGCAAAAAAUAUCUUAAGGAGAGAGAGUUUGUCCCCAAGUGUAGUAAAAGGUUACGAGGUGAAAUAUCAGCUGAGGGCAUGGUUUAACAGGAGCGUAUGGGAUAGGCUAAUUAGCAUAGCACACCUACUGUGUUUGCAGCAACAUACAGUAAAUAAGCUGAAAUUCAAGUUCAUCCUGAUUUGGCUGGAUCCUUGAGUACCUUCAGUAACUAUUAUGAAUGAUUCAAUCGGAAGGAAACAUGUAUAAAAUUUGUGUAGGUAAGAGAAUGCACGUGUGAACGCACUGGGGGUUUAAUCGGGAAUGAAGGAAAUUAUUUUACAUUAUUUUUUUUACAUUAUUACAAUGUACAACUUUACAUUAUUUUUUUUGUAAAAUAUUAUCAUGGUGCACUUAAAAAUGUUAUCGUCUUGCGUUAUAAAGUUCUUGCAAAUUUCUAACCUUCUGCAGCUCAUUUUCAUUCAAAUCACAGAACUGCAGAGAAAUGUACACUUUUUUAAAAACAAUUCUAUUUGAUUUUAUUCUAAUUUUGAUCUAAGAUAAGACAACACUUUAUUGACACUGCAUUUUAUUAUUCCCAAGGGGAAAUUAGAGGUGAGAUAACACCUCUAGGGAAAUCAUAGUGAGAUUGGCCGAGGAGGCGUGGAUCGGCUGAAGACUCCUGAACAUCACAGCCAUGUGUGGGCCUUCCCCAAACUGUUGCCACAAAGUUGUAAUCACACAAUUGUAUAGGAUGUCUUUGUAGACUGUAGCAUUACAAUUUCCCUUCACUGGACCUAAGGGGCCAGCCCAAACAGGUUCCAACAAAAAAAUUCCGCUGUGCAAAAAGCAAGGUCCAUAAAGACAUGGUUAGAGGUUGCAGUGCAAGAACUCGAGUGGCCUGCACAGAGCCCUGACCUCAAAAUGAAAGCCAGAGGCUAUGGUGGCAAGGAAAAGCUCCCUGAGAUGACAUGAGGAAGAAACUUUGAGAGGUACCAGACUCAAAAGGGAAUCCAUCAUCUUCUGGGUGACACCUGAUACUGUCAUUAUUUGUCAUUACUCUUCCACAACAGUAUACCGUUAAAGUGAAAUUAUCCACUGUUCAAGUGUAGUCUUUAGGGCUUUCAUGCAAGAAAAUCCACAGACAUCUUCAGGGUAUCCAUGUGGUACCAUCCACAGCAGUUUCAUGGCAAACUUUAGGCUAGCCUUAUGGGGCCAACCUCAGCAGCAAGUGAUGCCAUUAUAUAUCAAGCUCUUCACAUGAGCCUUCCCUAGGGCUGGGGUAAAUGUAAAUUAAUAACUUAAGGUGUUAGUCAAUAGGCUUACUGUUAAUAGAUGCAAAUUGUUUUAGAAGAUUCAUUUAGGGCAUUGUUUUUCUAUAUACACCAUUAGUGUUGCCACUUUUUUUUCCAUUUAAAAAUAACAUUGCAAUGCUUUUCAUGGAAUUGGAAUGCACAGAUUUGUUAGCCAGAUCCUCAAGAUCAAGUUCCUCAAGUCUAGUGUGCACUGAAAAGCUACAGUCGGGUCCAUAAUUAUUUGGACAGUGACACAAUUUUUGUAAUUUUGGCCCCGUACACCACAACAAUGGCUUUGAAAUGAAGCAAUCAAUAUGGGAUUUAAGCGUAGACUCAGCUUUAAUUCAGGGAGUUUAACAAAAAAUAUUGCAGUAACUGUUUAGUAAUUACAGCCAAUUUUCUAUAAUGAAAGAUAGAUUAUAUCUAUUGACAUAGGACACUGAUUAUAUUCCUGAUUACGUUCCUGUGUCUGAGCAUUUAGGUUAAGAUAAAACUCUAAAUUGACUCAUGGCCCAUUUUUAUUGGCCGGGCAUUCUCAGCGAUGUACACAGUUUGUGUGUUUUGUGCUGUAAAUGUCAGCUGGUGAAUCAACUGGCCACCCCAAAAGUGCCAUUGCGCCUCCUUCCAUUGAUUGAGGUCCCAUUGAAAGAAUUGGUAUGGACCUCAUCAGGCCAUUAGAAUGGAGUGAAUGAGGGUAUCGCUUUGUGUUAUUUGAGGUAGACCAUAUGUGUUAGUAGGUAUUAAGUCGAUUCACACCAGCAUUUACCAUCUGCAAAUGGAUGGCUUGGUUGAGUGAUUUAAUAAAAUGCUUAAACAAAUGAUUUGUAAGUUCAUACAGUGAGGACUCUCAGAAUUGGUAUAGGUGGCUCUAACUGGUAUUAUUUAUGGUACAAGAGAUCCCACAAGACUCCACAGGUUCUCCAUCUUUUAAUUAUUAUAUGGGCACAAGCCUUGUGGCAUUUUGGACGUUGUUAGAGAAAACUGGGAGGAGGGACCUUCAGAGAGUAAAAACGAAAUUCAGUAUGUUCUUGACCUGAGAGCAAAUCUCCACACAUUGGGACUAACACAAUCUCCAAUGCAAUUUUCAACUAACAAAAUUUUCAAUCUCUUUCAGAGAUAAAGUGCUUAUACUUCUACCCAUGUCAAGUUCCAAACUGCUCACGAAGUGGCAAGGACCCUUUGAGGUCACACAGCAAGUCGGGGAGGUCUGGCAACAGACUGGGACUGAUGAGUCAGACAGGGGGCUAGAGGCCAUGUUCUCCCAGGUGGUGGAGGGGGAGAAGUGCCCCGUGCUGUACAUCAGCAGGAAGCUCUAGGUGGGGGAAUGUAGGUACAUCACAAUCGAAAAACAGUGCAUGGCCAUCAAGUGGGCAGUCCUCACCCUCCGAUACUAUCUGCUGGGAAGGGCCUAGGGUCAGCAGAGCAGGGCCUUGCAGGUGGAGACGUGCACAGACGACUACUGUGUUUAAUUGUUUCCAUUUGACUAAAUUUAAAAGUGAGAGCCUAAAGAAUUGCAUGCUUGUGCCAGCCACAACUGGGUGUUGUAUUUUUGGCCAAGAAGUUUGAAACAAUAUUAAAUAAUGUUUUUGUCACCCCCCAGUCUCUCCUGCCUAUUUGUCUAAGCUCCAAAGGUUCUGUUCUUGCUAUAGUGGCUAAUGCACAAAUGUUUAUGAGCAUUUUAGUGUUCUAAGUCAUAUUAUCAUAUUAUCAUAUUAUAUAUUGAUUUACAGUUCUUAUUAGGAUUAAAACAUGUAGGAAUCUUAUACUGCCUCUGUACCAAGCACAUACAAUACAGGAGUCCAGCUUUGAUAUUAUUGCCAAGUGUCUGAACAUGCAGGAUUGCCACAAUGAUUAUAUGAUUUAUCAGUAUGUUGUAAAUUUCAGCAGGUGAAUAGGGUAACUCUUUAGCAAUAGUAUGUUUUCUUAUUAGAGGUCCAAACCUGGAAGGAGCAGGAAUUUUAUAGAGCUUGUAUGUACAUUUAUUUCUACAUUUAUUUAUAUCUGUAUUUCAACAUUUCUUCAUUUCUUUAUUUCUGUGUCUAUAUGUUAAUUGGGUGGGUCGUCCUAACCUUAGUCUAAAGCAGAACUGGUCAGCUGGGUGACCCAGACAGAAGCAACUGAAUCUUAUCAAAUCGACAUGUCUUAAGAUAGCUAUGAUAACCUUCUGUUAGGUGGAGGCGGUUGACAGCACUGGGGUGUGACUGAAGUGGAGAUGGAAGGAAGUGGGGUAGUUUCGGGAAGUGAUCCUGAAACGGAAGGAUUGGAUGGCAGGGAAUUAAAAGGGGUAGUAAAUAGUAAUUGGACCUUAGUGGAGAAUCGUAAAAGAAAGAAAAAUUGGAGUCAGUCAUCCGGAACUGAUAGUGAAAGAGAGAAUCAACAGGUUAGAAGCUGGAAAGAAGAACACUAGUUAUUGAUAAAAAUUUCUGUCAGAAUCAGAGGAUCAGAAGACAUUAAACCCAAUUAAAGUAACCAAAGCAUUGAAGGAAGCAGUUGGUCAGAUUGAAAGUGCAAAAAUGAUGCAAGAUGGAAGACUGCUGUUGUUUUGUAAAGACAUGGAACAACAAAAAGCAGCAGUAGAGUUAAAAUCUCUUUUAGGAAUUAAAGUAUCAAGUACAGUGAUGGGUAAUAGGGGUUAUUACAGAGGUUCCAAAUGAUGUAUCAAUUGAAUCAGUCAAGCGAAACCUAUUGGGGCGGCACCAAUAUGUGCCUGUAUUAUAAGAAGGGAUGAGAUGGAGUCACAUCCAUUGAGUCCGUGUUUAGCCCCCAAUUCUAAGCUAACAUUGGCGCUGUUAAUGCGCUGUUAAACUUUGAUAUUGUUACCUAUAAUGUUGUUGUUGUGUUUCUAUUCUGUUUGUAUCAUAAGAAUGAGUGAGACUAAGUUACAUGUGCUCAAUCUGUUGAAGCCAAUGUCAAGAUAAGUUAAGUUGAUAAUGUGUAAUAUUAUACUAUUGUGAUAAUUGAAACGUUAUUGCUGGUGAGAUAAUGUCAUGUUUGUAUUAGGUCAACUGAUACGAACUAGAUUAUUUGUGUAUAUCCAAAAGAGUGAAACAUUAUAUUCAUGAUGGUGCACAUUUCAUGUGAGUUAUUUGUAGCUGGUUGUUUUGCCCCUCACUCUAAUACAAGCUGUCCUGUUUGCUGUUAUUAUUAGAGAGUGCAUAAUGUCAUAUGCCAAUUGAUGCUCAUCUUGUAUUAGUUGCUUUGUAACUUAUUAUAAUAUGGGUUACUUUGUGUAUAAAGAGAAUGCUGUUGGAGGCACCGCUGGGAUGGUCAAAGUAAGGCUGGUGUCCUGUAAUGGAGGUGGUCACCCCACAUCAACCAUCAUACAAAACUACAAAACAGGCGGUAGGCAGUGCAGUGCAUCGGCUAAGGAAGUGGUGGGAGCCCAGCCCAGGGAAGUGUGCAUCCUGAGGUGCUGUUUCCACUAAGGAACCAAUAAUGACCAGGCAAGGCGAAACACAAACCCAUAACUAUGCAUGUUACUCGUAUGCCAAGAUGGAUUCAGAGGUUAAAAACCUGUGAUUUGAGAUUAAAGGAUUGUUGUUUCAACUUCCCAUUGAGCAGUUAAAAUUUCAGCAAUGAAAAUGAGGUUAAAGUAGAUGAUGAACAAGCCAAAUUGAAGAGAGAAUUAGGGAGCUUAAGACUGGCAGUACAACAGAAGGAAAUUGAGAUGCAGAACUGGCAACUAGGAAAAUUAAAAACAGAGGUGAUGGUGAAAUUGUACAAAGGUAAAUGACACAGGUAAAUAGCUCCAUUUGGCAAAAAGACUAUAAAAUCUCAGGCCAGACUGGUGAACCAGGGCACAAGAACCAACUCACUUUCUAUAGUUUAGCUCGCCAAAUUGAGAAUGGCCUUAGCAGAGGGUAUUCUAAGACAGAAAUAGUGGAUGCUGUUAUCACAGCCAUUGUCUGCAACUGCGGAGCUAGUACCUUGAAUGUAAAAGUGAUCUGUCUCUGCCUACACUUAGGAGAAUACUCCGCUCGGACUACCAGGAACAGAGUGCAAACAGUGUACCACAGAGGUACAAAACAUUAAGGAUACUCUGCAGAACUUUUUAAUUAGACCAAUGGACGUAAGGCAGAAGAUGCUGUUUACCACACAAGAGGCACAGUCCAAUCUAAAGUAUGAUCCUGUGUUUAUGUUGAGGUUUAUGCACACCAUACUUACAGGUUUACAGAAUGAUAACAUCAAUAAUGACCUCCAACCCUACCUGUUGUAGCGUACCAUCUCAGAUGAGUUGCUCCUAGAUAGACUUAAUAUAGCAUGUGGCCAUUAGAAAGAGAGACAAGAUAAGAGGCGGCAGACACCACAGCGACAGGCUAAUAUGCAUGCUGUACAAUCCAGUGACACCAGUGUGUGUAUGGUAUUGUUAAAAGAUCUCAAAACCGAGACAGCACAGAUCUGAGAGUCCAUCCAGUGGCAGUGCUGGCUCAAGGCUAGUGGUGGCACCAGCCCAGUUCCACACCACAGAGAUACAUACGUGGGGUGAGUAGAAGUGACCAUUAGACUGGUUGGUGAUGCUGAAGAGUUUUAUGUUCCCAUGCUCAUCAUAACGGGCAACCGUCAGCCUCAUCCUAUAAUCGGCUUCAUUGUAAUUGAGCGUGUUGUGAUCAAUAGUCAGACAGAGGAAGGAAAUAUUAAAGAGGAAGAAAAACUAAUCAGAAUGGUUACAAAGGCUGUCCCUAACUUACAGAAAAAAACAGCCAGAGCAUUCAUUAAGGCAGUGAUUGUUGAACAGUCCAGUGAACACCUAGUGAGAACACCUUGUCACAUAGUGAAUUGUAUAGAGCUAUAAUGCUAUGCAAGUAAAGUACCGAGUACAUACUAAGCCCCUGAAAGAGGACACCAUGUUAGUUUUUGAACCUGAUAACAAGCCCCAGUGGCCAGUAGGUAGCAACGAGACUGGAUAUGCCAAAGAUCAGGAGGUGAGUGUAAACCUCAGGGACCCCCGGUAGAUCUAAGACACCUAGAUGAAGAGAAGAGACAAAUAGUUUGUGAGAUGCUGAGGAAAGAGUCGGCCUGUUUGUCCCAGUCUGACAAUGACAUAGGCUGCAUUGAAAAGUUACGGCUAAAAAUCUCUUUGAGAGACCAAGAGCUGGUGGCAUGGACCUACAUGUCAGUCCCCAAGCCCCUAUAUGAGGAGAUGCAUGACUUAAUGGCACAGCGGUGGAUAGAGAAAUCCCAUUCUGUGUAUGCUUCCCCAGUGGUUUGUGUCAGAAAAAAAUUUGGCUUCCUAUGCCUUUGUAUCGAUUAUAGGGAGCUAAACCGCAAGACACACAGCCGUAAGGAAGCCGAUCUCUAGAGUCCAGGAUGUGAUGGAUGGCCUUGGAGGUAACACCAUGUUUUCGCUGCUGGAUCAAGGAAAAGCCUAUCACCAGGAAUUCAUGCCAAAGGACAGCAAGCAUCUAACAGCCUUCAUAACCCCCUGGGGAUUGUAUCAAUGGGUCAGGAUAUCCUCAGGGCUUAUGAAUACACCGGCGGCCUUUCAGCGCUGUAUGGAAAAGUGUUUAGAGGAACUCCGUGAUAAGAUCUGCAUCCCGUACCUAGACAAUACCCUUGUAUUCGGUAAAACAUUUGAAAGUCAUGUCAGCAAUGUCACAAAAGUUGAAAUUGAAACCCAGCAAGUGUGAGGUAUUUAGUACUGAGAUUCGUUACCUUGGAAAGAUAGUAUCCAUUGAAGGAAACAAAAUGGACCCCACUGACACUUCUGCUAUCAGGAUUCUGAAAGGGAAGAGACCAGGCACAGUUGGUGAGUUGAGACAGGUGAUGGGGUUGUUAAGCUACUAUUGUCAGUACGUAAAGGACUUACCAUUAUGACCCUACUAAAGGGCCUGCCAUGGUAACAGAGGAGACAGACACACAGAAACCUCACCCAAAGGGGAGGCUGUCCAAUAGGAAGGGAAAUGCAAAAGUAGAUGGUCUAACAGAUUCUUGAGAAACUAACAGACUGCCUGGUUCAGCCCCCAGUCCUUGCAUUUCCAGAUUUUUCUCAGCCCUUUGUUUUACAUACAGAUGCAUCUAACAAGGGACUUGAAGCCAUACUCUAUCAGAAACAAAGUGGAAAGCCCAGUGUGAUUCCGUAUGGGUCAUGGGCAUCGUCAGCAUCGGAGAGAAACUAUCACCUCCACUAAGGUAAAUUGGAAUUUCUUGCUCUUAAAUGGGCAAUAACUGAGAGGGUCUGUGACUACCUUUACUAUGCUCCCUUUUUCACUGUCUACAGUGAUAAUAAUCCAUUGACGUAUGUUUUGCCCACCGCUAAAAUAAAUGCUACUUUAAGUAGAUAGGUGGCAGAAUUAGCCAACUUCAAUUUUACUAUCAAGUAAAGCCCAAGCAAAGAAAAUAUAGACACUGAUUGUCUGUCCAGGAUACCGCUGAAUGCAGAGACACUGAUGGAUGAGUGCACAGAGGAAAUAUCCUGUGAUGCAGUGGGAGCAACUGUUCACUCGCUGGGGCUACAGUCAGAGGGGACUGCAGCAUGGUCAAUGGCCAUAUCUGUUGAGGAUGUAUUUGUGUCCCAGGACACCUCCAUUGUUUUGCUAGCACCAGGACAGAUACGACAAGACCAGGAAGAAGACCCACAUAUUGGACCAGUGUUACAGUGUAUGUUGUCUAGAGUAAGGCCCUCGUUUCACGAGCUGGAAGGAUUCAGUGCACAGAGUCUGUGCUUAGCCAGGGAACUGGACAAACUGGAAGUGGAUGAACAAGGAAUUCUAUGGAGGAAGAUUACACACAGGAAACAACUGGUAAUACCUGACAAACACAAGUCCACAGAGUUGAGAGAGCUACACGACCAAAUGGGAUAUCAGGGCACUAAUAGAAUGAUAUCUUUGAUUAGGGAUUGCUUCUUUAGUCCAUAUAUGCUGCGUGAGAUGUAACAGCAUGUGAUGGGCUGUACAUGCUUGAAACAAAAAAGCGAGGCGUGAAACUAGAACACAUCUUGUAAGUAUCACCACCGCCCAGCCAUUUGAACUUGUGUCUGUUGAUUUCCUCCACACUGACAAGUGUAAAGGCGGCUACUAGUAUAUAUUAGUGAUUGUAGAUCAUUUCAUCCACUUUGUGCAGGCGUACCCAACCACAUCCAAGGCAGGAAAGGUAGUAGCAGACAAAAUAUUCAAAGAUAAUGCUCUCAAGUUUGCAUUUCCAAUGCGUAUUCACCGCGAUCGAGAUGAGUUUGAAAACCAACUCUUUUCACAACUCAGCAGUGUGGCUUGCUCAAGAACUACCCCUUACCACCCACAGUGGAAUGGCCAAGUAGAACAUUUUAAUCAAACCUUGCUGCAGAUGCUUAAGACUCUCACAGACAAAGACAAGACCAAUUGGAAGAAUUCUCUAUAAUAAGAUUAUAUUCACUUAUAACUGUACAUGUACUGAAGUAACAGGCUUUCCCUGUUUUACCAUUUGUAUGGCCGCUCAUCGAGAUUACCAGUCGACAUGUUGUUCAACCUUUCAGCUGAUGCAGGCAGAGGCAGUACCAUAGCUAUGCGGAACACUGGAGGCAAGGAAUGCAAGAAGCAUACACUAUUGCAAGUGAAAUUGCACACAAAGCCACACGGAGAAAUAAGAGGAAUUAUGAUGGCUGAGUACGGAGCACAAUAUUGAAUUUUGGUGACCGUGUGCUAGUCUGAAACUUGACACCCUGAGGAGGACCUGGAUAAUUGCGAAAUCACUGGGAAGACACCUUUCAUGUUGUAGUGAAGUGGGAAAGGAUGUUCCUAUUUAUGAACUGAGACUUGAACACAGGAAAGGGAGAUCAAGAGUCAUGCACCCAACUCACCUGUGAUUGGGGAGGAUAUAGUUGAAACCCAAAUGAUGGAGGAAGCACCACAGCUCUCAGGAAGUAGUCAGGGAAGUGAAAUAGAGCCAAAGCCUCAAUGACCCCAUAGCGAACGUAGACUGCCAAAGAUCUUCAAAUAUGACAAAAUUGGGUCUCCCUCCUGUUAUUAUCUGACUGCACUCUCUGUUCAUACAUUGCCCCAAGUGUGGAUAUAUCAGGUGCAACCUUACUAUCACCAGCCUGUCUACUCAUAUGGGAUGUACGUUGGUUCAAUGUUCAUCUGACAGUUGAAGAGACCCUCAGACCCCUGAAACAAAAUUUAGUGUUGUUGAUUACCAGCCCAUGAACAAUUAAUACACAUCACAAAUUUCAGAACUUGGAACAGUACUGAAUGUAGUAGUUAAAGAGACUCUUGCUCAGAGACUUGGAACAAAACUGAGCGUGACUGAUCACAAGUAUAUGGACAUUUGAUGUGCACGACACAUUCCACAACUCAUAACAGUAACGAGUGUAGUUGAUACCAAAUGUGUACCCUUCCAGUUUAGGACUUCGUAAAUGCUGGAUGAUUCAGACAAACUAAAAUUGACAAGUUGAUGCUGGGACCAGGAGACAAAACUGAAUGUAUAAAAAGAGUUCCAGUCUGUAACCAAUAUGUGCAAUAUAUUGAACUGAAUUGAUAUAUUCAUGUUGGGACCUGGAGACAAAAUUGACUGUAUCAAAAGAGUUCCAGUCUGUAACCAGUCUGAUUUAUGCUUAAGGGUACUGAGAUAUUGAUGUUGAGGACAACGUCUGACUUUGGGGGGGAGUAUGUAACAAGUUGAACAAAUAAAUAAAAAUGUUAUUAUCUUUCUCGAUAAUA